rnacentral:rRNA from 1 species
GACGAACGCUGGCGGCGUGCUUAACACAUGCAAGUCGAACGGAAAGGCCCUGCUUUUGUGGGUUGCUCGAUUGGCGAACGGGUGAGUAACACGUGAGUAACCUGUCCUUGACUUUGGGAUAACUUCAGGAAACUGGGGCUAUUACCGGAUAGGAGCUCCUGCUGCAUGGUGGGGGUUGGAAAGAUUCGGCGGUUGGGGAUGGACUCGCGGCUUAUCAGCUGGUUUGGGGGGUAGUGGCUUACCAAGUCUUUGACGGGUAGCCGGCCUGAGAGGGUGACCGGCCACAUUGGGCCUGAGAUACGGCCCAGAAGCCUACGGGAGGCAGCAGUGGGGAAUAUUGCACAAUGGGCGGAAGCCUGAUGCAGCAACGCCGCGUGCGGGAUGACGGCCUUCGGGUUGUAAACAGCUUUCGCCUGUGACGAAGCGUGAGUGACGGUAAUGGGUAAAGAAGCACCGGCUAACUACGUG